CCCUUAGAUGCUCUGGGCCGCACGCGCGCUACACUGAUGCAUUCAACGAGUCUAAAACCUGCUCUGAUAGGGGUGGGUAAUCUUUUGAAUGUGCAUCGUGAUUGGGAUAGAUGAUUGCAAUUUUUCAUCUUCAACGAGGAAUGCCUAGUAAACGCAAGUCAUCAGCUUGCAUUGAUUACGUCCCUGCCCUUUGUACACACCGCCCGUCGCUCCUACCGAUUGAAUGAUCCGAUGAAUAUCAUGGAUUGAGGAUGUAAGCAGGUUCGCCUGUCUUCAUCUUCGAGAAGUGAAGUAAAUCUUAUCAUUUAGAGGAAGGAGAAGUCGUAACA
rnacentral:rRNA from 1 species